rnacentral:rRNA from 1 species
AUUGAACGCUGGCGGCAGGCCUAACACAUGCAAGUCGAGCGGAUGAAGGGAGCUUGCUCCUGGAUUCAGCGGCGGACGGGUGAGUAAUGCCUAGGAAUCUGCCUGGUAGUGGGGGAUAACGUCCGGAAACGGGCGCUAAUACCGCAUACGUCCUGAGGGAGAAAGUGGGGGAUCUUCGGACCUCACGCUAUCAGAUGAGCCUAGGUCGGAUUAGCUAGUUGGUGGGGUAAAGGCCUACCAAGGCGACGAUCCGUAACUGGUCUGAGAGGAUGAUCAGUCACACAGGAACUGAGACACGGUCCAGACUCCUACGGGAGGCAGCAGUGGGGAAUAUUGGACAAUGGGCGAAAGCCUGAUCCAGCCAUGCCGCGUGUGUGAAGAAGGUCUUCGGAUUGUAAAGCACUUUAAGUUGGGAGGAAGGGCAGUAAGUUAAUACCUUGCUGUUUUGACGUUACCAACAGAAUAAGCACCGGCUAACUUCGUG